GAUGAACGCUGGCGGCGUGCCUAAUACAUGCCAGUCGAGCGAACAGACGAGGAGCUUGCUCCUCUGACGUUAGCGGCGGACGGGUGAGUAACACGUGGAUAACCUACCUAUAAGACUGGGAUAACUUCGGGAAACCGGAGCUAAUACCGGAUAAUAUAUUGAACCGCAUGGUUCAAUAGUGAAAGACGGUUUUGCUGUCACUUAUAGAUGGAUCCGCGCCGCAUUAGUUAGUUGGUAAGGUAACGGCUUACCAAGGCAACGAUGCGUAGCCGACCUGAGAGGGUGAUCGGCCACACUGGAACUGAGACACGGUCCAGACUCCUACGGGAGGCAGCAGUAGGGAAUCUUCCGCAAUGGGCGAAAGCCUGACGGAGCAACGCCGCGUGAGUGAUGAAGGCCUUCGGAUCGUAAAACUCUGUUAUUAGGGAAGAACAAAUGUGUAAGUAACUAUGCACGUCUUGACGGUACCUAAUCAGAAAGCCACGGCUAACUACGUG
rnacentral:rRNA from 1 species